CCUACGGGAGGCAGCAGUGAGGAAUAUUGGGCAAUGGACGCAAGUCUGAACCAGCCAUGCCGCGUGCAGGAUGACGGCUCUAUGAGUUGUAAACUGCUUUUGUACGAGGGUAAACCCCGUUACGUGUCUCGGGUUGAAAGUAUCGUACGAAUAAGGAUCGGCUCACCCCGGGCCAGCAGCCGAGGUAAUAAGGAGGAUCCGAGCGUUAUCCGGGUGUAUUGGGUUUAAAGGGUGCGUAGGCGGUUUGAUAAGUUAGAGGUGAAAUGUCGGGGCUCAACCCCGAAACUGCCUCUAAUACUGGUGGAAUAGAGAAUAGUUGCGGUAGGCGGAAUGUAUGGUGUAGCGGUGAA
rnacentral:rRNA from 1 species